ensembl:lncRNA
UUGGAUCCAUAUUUUACGUUUAUUCAACUUUCAUUGGGUAAAAACACUGGAGUUGACGACUGCAGUUCUUUUCUCUCAUAGCAGCAAGGUGUGUAAAUCAAAUCAUGGUUAUUCUGCCAGACAAUAAAUAAUCUGCCUCUUUGGAUGACGUCGAUGUUUAGAAAACAACAGAUAAAUAUGCUGCAGCGUUCACUUUUAUUUUACAACCUGUAAACAUAUACAUAUAUAUUUACUAUAUAUAUAUAUAUACACACAUAUAUGUUCAUGUGAAUAACUUUGCCUAUAUUCAUAAAACACUACAGUAGUUUGUAAAAUUGAAGUAACAUAUAGAGAAUUAGCAAUGAGUCCAUCACUGUCACAGGACGCCAUCGAUCCCCAAAGCAACGCGGCUGGAAUGAACAUCACGUCGUCUCUGCAGAAGGACCUCCGUCGGGGCUCCAUGUGAUAUCACAGAACAAUGACAUGUAUGCAGCUAUAUGGUACAAGCACGAGCUGGAUAUUUAGUCUGUACAAACGAUACGUUUAAGAAGUAGAAAGGAGGUCUGUUGCACCUUCAGUAUGUUAGCAGCUUGAUCCAAUACCAAAAUAUAUAAAUCGCAGUAUUGCAGUGUUUCUUACAUACACAUUCAAUAAAGUUCACUGGUACCACUGGAGCUUAUGAAGAAGGUCGACAUGGAUUGCUGAAGGUCUGUGCCUCUCACUGAAGAGCGUCUCCUGGUCACCACGCCGUUUCCCAGGACGGCUAGAUUAGUUUUUACCUCUCAACUGUCAUCCACAAUAAUGCAGUUAGCUGAUGAACAGCCUUCAGGCAGAAACCACUAAGAAAACAAGUCGUAUAUUCUCAGAAUGUCCCACUGAGGUCAAAGUAUGACAGAAGAAGAAAACAACCCUGGGACUGAGCGAACGUACAGUAUAUCUGGUUUGUCUCUUUACAAGUGAUGGAAGCAUCCAUCCAAGCUCCAUCACGCUUGUGCUCUCACCCAAACCAUCGCUGGGCUGUUCAAACCUUCUGCAGAACCAGGCGUUUGUUAGAAGAGCCCUCAAUGAGACACACAGAACACUUGUGCAAGUAAAGCAAAAGGGACACUUUGAUAAGUAAAACACUGUCAUUGUACCUGUAAAAAUAAAACACUAUAUUGUAUUUACAUGUUAUUGUUCUCUAAAAGAGCUAAAUAUAUCAUCUAUACAUUUGUAGUAAAGGUAUUUUAACAAAAGGCAAUGAAGGAAAAUAAAAGGUAUUCAAUUUACAAAAAGUGCUAUGAUUUCAAAAAAGCAGCUUGCUAACCUUUCUUGUAAAACCCCAAACCUUCACAGGACACAAAUGCUUUGAAACAUCACACAUUCAACUCUAUAUUUCACAUAACCAAGAACAAUAUUGUGUCCAUCCUUGUCUCAAUAAGGGAAACGAAGAAGGUAACACUUCAUUUUUGAAUUUCAGAGCAAAAGACAAUAUGAGUAUGUGAGGUAAAUGAAAACACUAUGGAGUUACAUUUGCAUCAAACACGUCAUGGAACCAGGAUGCAGCGUCUCAGAACUGUUGGGAAGAGAAAAGGCUGCUGACUUCACAUUUAUGCCACAUGGUGAGCAGUCCAAUGUCUGUUAGAAGAGUCCGGAAUGAUGUCAUGACAGGGAACGCAUUGAUAUUGAUGAUUGAUACCAGAGUUUGAUACAUUAUGCAAAAGGCCCGUUCACCUGCAGCCUUCAUUAGCAACGUUCAUGUCACAUGACGCAUUUUAAAAGCAGAACGUUUUGGCCAAACCAGGACUACAACUGGAGUUCAUGAUGAGUGAGUGUAGCACCGCAAGACUACAGUCAUAAACCCAGGACUACAGUCAUAAACUCAAGACUACAGUCAUAAAACCAAGACUGCAGUCAUAAACUCAAGACUACAGUCAUAAAACCAAGACUGCAGUCAUAAACUCAAGACUACAGUCAUAAACCCAGGACUACAGUCAUAAACUCAAGACUACAGUCAUAAACUCAGGACUGCAGUCAUAAGCUCAAGACUACAGUCAUAAAACCAAGACUACAGUCGUAAACUCAAGACUACAGUCAUAAAACCAAGACUGCAUCAUAACUCAAGACUACAGUCAUAAACUCAAGACUACAGUCAUAAACCUAGGACUACAGUCAUAAACUCAAGACUACAGUCAUAAACCCAGGACUACAGUCAUAAACCCAGGACUACAGUCAUAAACUCAAGACUACAGUCAUAAACCCAGGACUACAGUCAUAAACCCAGGACUACAGUCAUAAACUCAGGACUAGCAAGAGCUGCUGCAACAGGAGAACAAACCCCAAACCUUCUUCAGUGUCUUCAGUACCUUUUGUCAGUCUAUCAUUUGGAUAUAUUACACAAACGUCACUGGACAAAUGCGAUCAUUUCAAUAUAUUACUUAGCAGCAGGUUGCAUCUUUAAGUGUAUUUUUGUGUUCAAAUAUCUCUUCUAUACGUUGCUCCCAAUAGGCCCAUUUGUUAUCAAAUGUGUGUUGUGUAUCUGCUUGUUGAAGGUGUAUAACGUAUAAAAAAAGGUAUAAAAAGCUCUCGUUCUGUCAAUCAUUGCUGCGACAGUGAGAAACGUCCUGUGCAGCAUGUAUGAAAAUAUCAUGAGCUUCUGUACCAAGGUGGCCGUUAUUUUUCCCAUUUUUUAAUUUUUCAAACACAGCAAACAACUCAUCUGUAGUUUGUGUUGCAUGAUAAUAAGCACAACGUGUGCUUACAGUGUAUGAUCUUAGUAUGACCAAUGUGUCCACUACAUGCUGAGGCCUGACUGGCCUCUACUAGUGCGCCGCUUGCUUUGCAGCACAAGCCGUACAGGCUGUAAGGGGACCACUGCACCACUGAGGCUCAGAAGACGCCAAGCAGCCCCCCUUUGGAUGGAUCGGUUGGAAGAGGAAAAGAAAAGAAUGUAUAUCAUAAUGAUGUGUAUCUCGCCACAGGAUCACAUGCAGCGACGCCAUGAGACUGAGGCGAGCCGCAUCAGGCGAAGUCGUGUCAAACGGGCGACGCUGAGCGAUGAGAUGCUCCCCGUCGUCACUGGCGUCCUGCAGACAGCGGUACCCCGAGCUGUACAUGCACCCUCGUACUCAAUAUUAAGGAAUAUAGCAGGACAUUUUCUCAACAUGUGGGUUGAUUUGAAUGGAGGCGUUUGGAUGUGCUUGAGCACGCGGUCGUCUCGCCACGCCACAGCUCCCUCAGCAGAGGAGUAUGAUGGGAAGGCGGUGAAAUCAGACUGGCUAACCUCAUGUGCGCUGGAAGCGGCAGCCAUCCAGACGCAGUUCAUGUAGAAGCUGUCUGCGCCCACGGAUGCUAUUUAGUACAAAAACACGACGGUUUGGUAAAACAGGUAAAACAAUGGCGGAGAAGCUCGGCCAUCGGUGAGGAGCUGGAGUCCGAUUGGGGGGCGGUGGACCGAUUGGGGGGCGGUGGACCGAUUGGGGGG